rnacentral:rRNA from 1 species
AUUGAACGCUGGCGGCAGGCCUAACACAUGCAAGUCGAACGGUAACAGGAAGAAGCUUGCUUCUUUGCUGACGAGUGGCGGACGGGUGAGUAAUGUCUGGGAAACUGCCUGAUGGAGGGGGAUAACUACUGGAAACGGUAGCUAAUACCGCAUAACGUCGCAAGACCAAAGAGGGGGAGCUUCGGGCCUCUUGCCAUCGGAUGUGCCCAGAUGGGAUUAGCUAGUAGGUGGGGUAACGGCUCACCUAGGCGACGAUCCCUAGCUGGUCUGAGAGGAUGACCAGCCACACUGGAACUGAGACACGGUCCAGACUCCUACGGGAGGCAGCAGUGGGGAAUAUUGCGCAAUGGGCGCAAGCCUGAUGCAGCCAUGCCGCGUGUAUGAAGAAGGCCUUCGGGUUGUAAAGUACUUUCAGCGGGGAGGAAGGGAGUAAAGUUAAUACCUGUGCUCAUUGACGUUACCCGCAGAAGAAGCACCGGCUAACUCCGUG